ACUCCUACGGGAGGCAGCAGUGGGGAAUAUUGGACAAUGGGCGCAAGCCUGAUCCAGCCAUGCCGCGUGUGUGAAGAAGGCCUUUUGGUUGUAAAGCACUUUAAGCGAGGAGGAGGCUACUUGGAUUAAUACUCUAGGAUAGUGGACGUUACUCGCAGAAUAAGCACCGGCUAACUCUGUGCCAGCAGCCGCGGUAAUACAGAGGGUGCGAGCGUUAAUCGGAUUUACUGGGCGUAAAGCGUGCGUAGGCGGCUUUUUAAGUCGGAUGUGAAAUCCCUGAGCUUAACUUAGGAGUUGCAUUCGAUACUGGGAAGCUAGAGUAUGGGAGAGGAUGGUAGAAUUCCAGGUGUAGCGGUGAAGUGCGUAGAGAUCUGGAGGAAUACCGAUGGCGAAGGCAGCCAUCUGGCCUAAUACUGACGCUGAGGUACGAAAGCAUGGGGAGCAAACAGGAUUAGAUACCCUGGUAGUCCAUGCCGUAAACGAUGUCUACUGGCCGUUGGGGCCUUUGAGGCUUUAGUGGCGCAGCUAACGCGAUAAGUAGACCGCCUGGGGAGUACGGUCGCAAGACUAAAACUCAAAUGAAUUGACGGGGGCCCGCACAAGCGGUGGAGCAUGUGGUUUAAUUCGAUGCAACGCGAAGAACCUUACCUGGUCUUGACAUAGUAAGAACUUUCCAGAGAUGGAUUGGUGCCUUCGGGAACUUACAUACAGGUGCUGCAUGGCUGUCGUCAGCUCGUGUCGUGAGAUGUUGGGUUAAGUCCCGCAACGAGCGCAACCCUUUUCCUUAUUUGCCAGCGGGUUAAGCCGGGAACUUUAAGGGUACUGCCAGUGACAAACUGGGGGAAGGCGGGGACGACGUCAAGUCAUCAUGGCCCUUACGACCAGGGGCUACACACGUGCUACAAUGGUCGGUACAAAGGGUUGCUACCUAGCGAUAGGAUGCUAAUCUCAAAAGC
rnacentral:rRNA from 1 species